rnacentral:rRNA from 1 species
GCUUACGGCCACACCACCCUGAGCGCGCCCGAUCUCGUCUGAUCUCGGAAGCUAAGCAGGGUCGGGCCUGGUUAGUACUUGGAUGGGAGACCGCCUGGGAAUACAGGUGCCGUAAGCU